GUUUACCUGUCUAGCUAUUUACCUAUCUAUCUAUCUAUCUAUCUAUCUAUCUAAUCUAUCUAUCAUCCUGCAUUCAUCUCUUUGUGAUAGGAUGUAAACUCCACAAAGGAAACUGAUGUCAAUUUUGUCCUGCUGUAUCUCCAGUACCUUAAAAAAGCCAUGGCAAACAGCAGGUGCUCAAUAAAUAUUUUUCUGAACAAAUGAAUGGAUAGAAGUUGCCCUUAGUGGUCUAAAUCUAAAUAUUUACAUUUCUAUCUCUUUUUAAUAGAAAUCACUUGCCAUGUUGAGUAUGAAGAAUUACCAAUUUUUAAAUGCACAAAUAGCUAUAUUUUGAAUGACACCCAUGCUUUUGGUUUAAAUCUCUUAUGCUCAUCUGAGUAUGCCUAACCAUGAGUCCAUCUAGUCUGCCUGUUAUGAUUCAUUUGAUGACAAAUACAGGGAGAGAUGAAAGCAACAUCCAUCUACGAGGGAUAAAGGCCAGAGCUUGACAAAUGACUGUCAAAAUGGAGAGAGGGGUCAACUUAAAUGGUAAAAGUUCACACCUGGUAUCUAGAAGAAAAGUAGUACCCUGACACAAGCAAUAAGCUAAGAGAAGUAGCUGGUUUAACUGAUGCUGGUGAAUUUGUUUUAGAUAAACCAAAAUUAAAAUGGCUGAUGGUUGUAUUGGGAAAAGCACUUCAUGUCUGGACGUGGGAAUCAUCAACACAUGUACUCUUUUUGAACUCAAAACCGAGUUGCCUCAUGAACAGAAGUAGAAAGGGGGAAGGAGCAUAGGAAAAGACAGAUAUUAAGCUGAAUAAAGAAACUUAGGUAGAACCCCAGAUAGUCCUCACUGUUGUAGAACAUGGAAAAGAAUCAGAAAAGAUGACAUCGAGAAAGGAGCAAUGGGAAAGGUCUGGUUUGGGCUGGAAGAGAUCAAAAGCUCAGUGUGGAACAUGUUCAGUUUGAGAUGUCUCUGAAGUAUCUGUGAACAAAACUUAGAUAGGUGUUUAGAUGUAUAAGUGUGAAAUCCAGAUAAAGUUUGAGCUCAUAUAAAUGGAGUUAACAGCUAAUAGAUGGUAUAUGAAGCCUUGGGCAUGUAUAAGGUCACCCAGGGAGAGAAUCUUAUGAGCAGCAGAGUCGAGAAUAAAGCUAUAUUCCACAUUUGAUGGCUUGGCAAGAAAAAGCUUGUAAAGUGAGCAGUCAAAGACGUAGAUGAAAAAAUACAAGAGAAUAUUUGUGUCAGGGAAACCAUGGAAAAAGGAGAUUCAAGAAAGGGCAACACAUAUUGCUGAGGUCAAUUAAAAGUUCACCGGAUACAGAGCAAGAACUCACGGGAUGGAGAUACACACAUACAUACAUCCCUAUCUUUUAGACCAAAUUGUAUUUUUGAAGUUAUAAGAAGGAAAACCAGAUUAAAAUGGAUUGCAAGCUAAGAAAAUGUAGGCAAUAUGAACAGAAAACACUUCAAAAAUGUGUAAAGAGUAGAAAGAGAGGGUGCAAGAUGAGGAUGUGGGGUAUAUGAAUGAUUUUUUUUUAAAAGAGAUACUUGACCAUAUUUAUAAAAUAAUCAGAUAGAAUUUCUGCUUCUGGUAUGUCUGACAAUCUUCCAGUAGAUAACAACUGUAAGCUUUGAACAAACAUAAAAAGCAACUGCUGGAGGAGGAGGUGAAGCAAGAUGGCCAGAUAGAACUCCCUAGAGAUUAUCCCCGUCCCCCACUGCAGGAACACCAAAUUACUACCCACACAAGAAAGCACCUUCGUAAGAACAAGAAACCAGAUGAGUGAUCACAGUACCUGAUUUUAACAUUGUAUUAAGGAAAAAGGCACUGUAGAAGGUAGGAAAGACAGUAUUGAAUUGCCUACACACCCCUCUUUCAUCCUCCAUCAGCUGCAGCAUGGUGCAGAGAGAAUUUGUGUAGGCCAGUCAUGGUGGCUCACGCCUGUAAUCCCAGCACUUUGGGAGGCCGAGGCAGGUGGAUCA